rnacentral:rRNA from 1 species
GAUGAACGCUGGCGGCGUGCCUAAUACAUGCAAGUCGAGCGAACGGACGAGAAGCUUGCUUCUCUGAUGUUAGCGGCGGACGGGUGAGUAACACAUGGAUAACCUACCUAUAAGACUGGGAUAACUUCGGGAAACCGGAGCUAAUACCGGAUAAUAUUUUGAACCGCAUGGUUCAAAAGUGAAAGACGGUCUUGCUGUCACUUAUAGAUGGAUCCGCGCUGCAUUAGCUAGUUGGUAAGGUAACGGCUUACCAAGGCAACGAUGCAUAGCCGACCUGAGAGGGUGAUCGGCCACACUGGAACUGAGACACGGUCUAGACUCCUACGGGAGGCAGCAGGAGGGAAUCUUCCGCAAUGGGCGAAGGCCUGACGGAGCAACGCCGCGUGAGUGAUGAAGGUCUUCGGAUCGUAAAACUCUGUUAUUAGGUAAGAACAUAUGUGUAAGUAACUGUGCACAUCUUGACGGUACCUAAUCAGAGAGGCACGGGUAACUACGUG